rnacentral:rRNA from 1 species
UACGGGGGGGCAAGCGUUGUUCGGAAUUAUCUGGGCGGUAAAGGGCUCGUAGGUGGCCAACUAAGUCAGACGUGAAAUCCCUCAGCUUAACUGGGGAACUGCGUCUGAUACUGGAUGGCUUGAGUUUGGGAGAGGGAUGCGGAAUUCCAGGUGUAGCGGUGAAAUGCGUAGAUAUCUGGAGGAACACCGGUGGCGAAGGCGGCAUCCUGGACCAACACUGACACUGAGGAGCGAAAGCCAGGGGAGCAAACGGG